GACAGAGGGUGCAAACGUUGCUCGGAAUCACUGGGCGUAAAGGGCGUGUAGGCGGGAAGGAAAGUCAGAUGUGAAAUCCCUGGGCUCAACCCAGGAACUGCAUUUGAAACUCCCUUUCUUGAGUACCGGAGAGGAAGGUGGAAUACCUGGUGUAGAGGUGAAAUUCGUAGAUAUCAGGUGGAACACCAGUGGCGAAGGCGGCCUUCUGGACGGUAACUGACGCUGAGACGCGAAAGCGUGGGGAGCGAACAGG
rnacentral:rRNA from 1 species